GACGUAGGGGGCAAGCGUUGUUCGGAAUUACUGGGCGUAAAGCGCACGUAGGCGGAUACUUAAGUCAGGGGUGAAAUCCCGGGGCUCAACCCCGGAACUGCCUUUGAUACUGGGUAUCUCGAGUCCGGAAGAGGUGAGUGGAAUUCCGAGUGUAGAGGUGAAAUUCGUAGAUAUUCGGAGGAACACCAGUGGCGAAGGCGGCUCACUGGUCCGGUACUGACGCUGAGGUGCGAAAGCGUGGGGAGCAAACAGG
rnacentral:rRNA from 1 species